UCAGCAACAUUAUUCCAAGGUCUGCAAUGCCAGGUCGAUCAUGAAUGUGCCAACAGCAGUGUCAUGCUAUAUGAAACCAAAUUGAAGAGUGGUUUAUCUUGCUGCAACCAUGAGGAGAAAACCAAAGCAGCGUAAUAAUGGAUCAAUGAAACCUGCAGACCACAACAUGUUUGCAACAAUUCAUCACAAAUCCUGUCAAA
rnacentral:lncRNA from 1 species